GAAUGUCAGACGUCCUCAGUAGCAGUCCCUCUUACAGUAGGUGUCUCCAGGACCAUCGGUUGCCAUGGUGACACACACAGACUAACAAGAUGACAACACCUGCAAGUGUUGCCGCUUGCAACAAAGCAGAGAAGCACCGUUAUACAACAUUUCUCUUCUCUUGUGACUAAAGUUAUUCAAGACUUUAGACAUUUUAAAUCAAAAUUUCCAGUGAGAAUGAAUCGGCCGCCUGGCAGACUGUGACUAGGAAGCUUUUCCACCAAUCUAAAAGCUGGAGAGGUUCAAACCAGGAAGGUCAGAGAUAAUGACUGUGAAACUCUCCAAAUCAUGCUCCUGCAGAAUUACCAAACAUGGACAGUGCCCUCGGCAGAGCAUCUAUUUAGCUUUAAAGCACGAGAGAGCUCCUCUCAAUCAGCAAAGGGCAAGACGGAACAGGCGUAUUAAGACAGCAAAUACCCUGAAAAUACCCCACUAGUCACAUGUUAACGGCCCCAUGUGAUAAAGCUGUUCAAGAAAGCUCAAGGCUUUCCACACAGAGUACAAAGAAAUGUUUUGGAAAUAUAAAUAUAAAUCUAUUUUUCCCUCUUGGCUCCUCUUGUCGUUCACUGCCCCCCUGAGAGAUAAGCAAUCUGGGGCUUGUUAGCAGACAGGGACUGUAGAGACGGAGCAAAAGGGGAGAAGAUGGACCAGACAGAGUGAAGAUGAGGAGGAGGAAAGUGGAGCGAAAAGGAGACUGGCUUCUGCAGUUACCGCUCCGUGUUGCUACCUGCUGUUAAGAGGAAAUGACCAGGUGACACUGACAUCGCCGACCUUUUCCCGCGUGUGCGUAUCUGUGUGUGUGUGUGUGUGUGUGUGUGUGUGCAUUGCUUCCUCCUGGCUUUAAAAAACAGUUUAGAAGAAAUGUUGAAUCUCCUCAUGAUCCUCAAGAUAUGCGUGGGAUGUAGAAUGGAUAGAAUGGUUUUUGUUCCCACAGUAAUAUUUGAUGUUCGAUGGGGAACUGAUCUCAAAACUAACAGCGCUUGUCUCUAUAUACAGUAUUGUUUUUUAGUAGCUUUCUAAUAUUUUUCAGGGACACUCAGCCUUCAUUUUUCUAAAGAAAGUGCACCCACUGUGUCGAUGACUAUGGCUUGAAACUGCAGUGCGUAUCUCUGAGGGUUGUAACAAAAAGCUGCUGUAGAGGAAAUAUAGAAAUAUCACACUUCAAGCUACAUUGGUGUCACCAGUAGCCACAGCACAAGCUCCCCACGGACCCCCCUCCCUAAUGCUGCCGGGGGGACGCCCUUAAAGGCCACCGAGUGAUGCUGGCUGCCACUUUGACCACAGGUAUCCGGGGGCUUCUUCAAAAUCACAGUAAUCAAUAGUUUCUCAGCUCUUUUGACAGUCUUUUACACUGUAAAGUAAGAACACACACACACACACACACACACACACACAGUGAGUGAGCCCUGAGGCCACCCUUUUGGUAUGCAAACAGUGGAUCUCAUUUAAAGCAGAGGUUUCAUUCGCUACCCUUGAGUGCGUGUUUGUGAGGAAUCGGGUGUGAGCGCUGCUCUCCAUCGGACUGCUGGGUCAGUCUGACACGCUCAUAUACGUGUAGCGGGAUGCAAACUCGAUGGUGUUACAUUGACCGCUGACAGGGAGCACAUUAACCAGAGCCAGUCAUGCAGUGCUGAACUCUCUAAAAGUGUACUGUGCAGCGUUUGUUGCUACGCAGACCUACGUUUGAUAAAUCGUCAACACGUAGUGACGAUCAGAUGAAGCUUUGCAGCAAACAUUUCUUCUGGGUCUUCGUCUGUCACCACAACCUUCUGUUGACCAAAGAGACCAAUAUGGUAAAGUACUUCUCUUUGCUGGUGUUCCGACCAUUCAAAACGCUCUCACACUUCCCGUCAUCCACACAGUGAGGACAGUCUACCACGCAGGGGGCCACCUGCCCACCAGGACUAUCUAACAUCGACACAUGACAACACAGUACCGGUCCAGCCCGCAGGUUAAGUGUCUUACACAAGGACCAAUUGAUAUUGAGUUGCUCAGCCAGGGAUCGAACGGCCGAUCAAGGAUCCUCUCGUUGCCGUAGAGAAGUUCAGCACAAAACAGCGGGGAACAGCACGGCCUUCAUGUGCCACGACUACCUUCAGGUCUGCUGUGAGGGACAUUACUUAAAUGUCUCAUUUACUCUUCUGAGCCCUCAAAGCUCUUUAAAUGCUACAUGUCAUCGUUCCCAUGCUGAUGACAGGACCCAGCAUAAACAAAGGGCCCUACCCAUCAGUAACUAACAUCCACACACUGCAGUUACAGGUACGGGAGCAAUGUUGGUGUUAAGUGUCUCACUCUCACUCCGACAUACGGAGAUCAAAUCGCCAAAUAGGCAACCGUGCUCUCCACUCACCCACCGUCGCCCAGAUGGAGACAAUGGGGAGCUAUGAGGCUUUGCCCCACCCAGGUGGAUCAGUCCAUCAAACGUCCAUCUUUGAGCCGAGAGACCGCUGUAACCCAAACAAUGAUCCAUUCAUAACAAUUUUGUUGCCAAAACACAGUUUACUGUGAGGAUGUGGAAGUGCAUUUUUAAGAGCGAAUUCAUGUUACGAGCAGAAACUGAACCGAGCAGCUGGAAUUGGAAUCUUUUCGUACAAUAUGAUACAUUUAGUGCAGUGUUUGUUCUCAUUUUAAAUCAUUUGAAUAGUGGGGAAAUGUUCUUUAAAGCUGCCGCAACAGACUACUUCAAACCAAAUCUGAGUUACCUGUCUUUCAAACCAACACAGGACAAUGAAGCAGAAAAAUGAACCCCAAAUAUCCCAGAUUCAACGGACCGAUACCAAUGUCAGUUUGUCUUCUUACAAGCACUUUGUGUCACGCAGAACCACCGAUCUGGACAACAAUGACAAGUCUGCCGGGCGGUCCGGGCACCGCCUUUUGUGAGAGUAAAGCAGAGUGUCGCUUCAGCGCCGCACAACAACGCGCCACGCGUCCGUUACACAAGCAGUCGGGAUCCUCCUCCCACGCGUUGCCUUUUGUUAUGUAUAUGAGUGCUAUUUUGUUCUACAAGUAAAUGUAUGGAGCGGUGGAGGGGGGGUUUAAUAGUAUUCUUGUGUGUUUGACAUGAGGAAGGUCUAUUUCCCCAGAGAACGGUCUUCAGGGCCUCGGCCCCUCCCCCCAUGUUGCCCUCUCUCCACUUGAUAUUAAGACAACAGGGAGGAUUACGCCGAGCUACGACAGGAGAGAAAAAAAAGCAAUUUGGCCUGAAGGAGGGGAGUGUGGGGAGGCGGGGGAUUUAACUUGACUCCAGUUUCCAUUCUUCUCCUUUCUUUUUAGCUUCUUGAUGAUGAUCUUUCUGCGAGGCUACGAACAGUCCGUUAUGGAUAUCACUUUUUUUCAUCUGUGUGUGUGUGUGUGUCUUUACGUGAUGCUACCUGAGCCUCUCUGCAGUAAUCAUGUAGACGCUUAAAGGGGGGUCUUGCUGUUCUAUCUAAAAUGUUCGGAUUAGUUUAACUGGACUGCAACAUCUCAAUGCUCUUCUUGAGUGUAAUUGGCUACUAGAAGGUGUCUGCUAAUGGUUAAUAAUCAUUAUUACUGUGGGGAGCACAAAGAAUGAAUAAACAAUGCAACGUUAAAGACACUACAGUCUGUCGGUUUCUAAAUUGAGCCCCUUUAUAACUCUUUUCAUCUUAGGAAAACUAGAAUCCUUCAUUUGUGCGUUUUCCUAUGAAAGCCAGCAACUUGUGACAACUUCCAUUCAUUAAGGAUAAUUGCAAACUCAAAUGUUUAGGAAAAUCCUGACUUUGGAAUUGUCGUAAAAACAUUAUGCAAACUAGGUAACAAAUAUAUAAAAAUGGAUUAAAGAUCACCGUUUGUUUGAUCCAGCCUCCUCUCCUCCUGUGUACUUAAGCAGUCUUUAUAUGUCUUUGACUGAUAACGUGAAUAACAUAGAAAUCACUUUAGUAAAAGCCUGUUUGUUGCAUGGCCCGAUUUAUUUAAGAAUGGAACACAACACAGCCACAAGCCUGUGAACAUCUGUGGUUAGGGUGGUCUGACUUUCUUAUGAGAAGUGUCUGGCAGAAAGGAGGGAGGAAUAAAAACUAAGGAAGGGGUGAGGUAGGAUACAUAAAGGCAACAUGGAAGCAACCUGACCCAAUGAAAAGAGCGAAAAAGCACAAGUCAAGGGAAAUAAGCUUGGAAGUGGCCUGCCACAUCUACUUCUCACCUGAACAAAUUGUGUGAUUCGGAGUGAGCCCGAGCAGCUUAACGCUCACUGGAGGGAAUUCAUGGGGGUGCUCAAGGAGAGCCAUGUAGCGUCUGUUUACUUCUUGCCAACACCUCCUGACUGAUAAUGCCUUUAAACUCUCUCGUUGUCCCGGUUCAGCUCCAAGAUGUCGGUCUUAUGCACGACUUUUGCCAAUUUGUAUUUAGCACAUUAGCAUUGAGUGGCAUGGCGGCCGUGAUAAAAUGGAGAAUCUGAUAUGGGUAAGUCAUUAAGGAUUAGCCCUGCUGUAGAAAUUACAUUUGAGUUUUCUCUCCUUUUCAGCAGUGUUUUAGGACUUCAAACAGAAGUUCUACCAAGCCAAUCUGAUUUGAUCAAAAUCCCGUGUGUAAAGUCACACUCACUGAAACAGGCCUUCAAAUAAAGCAUUUGAUAAUAUCUUCCCUAAGGUUGACGAGGGGUUUUAUUUUCAGCCAAUCUUUUUUUCCCGAAAAGUUCCCUCAAUCAAAACAAGCUGGAGGGGUCAGGAAAGCAGACAAACAGCCUGACUAAUAAACCGACAGGAAGGAAAGAGGACCGACUGGCAGAGAACCAUCAAGUUUGAUUAUCAGACUCUUAGCCCUGAUGCCCUUUACCUCCUCCCAGCCAUUCGUCUGUGGUGUUUCCUUAAUGAAAAGCCUGGCGGCUGUGCCCGUUCCGGAUCUAUCCGGGAGAGAGGAGUACCUGCACGCCACAUUGACGUUGAUCAAUAGCCUGCAGAGAAGACGAGCGGAGCCCCGGACUCGCGCGGCUUAAUGGGAGGGAAUGGGACUGGAGGGAAAAAGAGCAGAGGUGUGCUUUUAAAUAACGGCACAGCAAUCUUGGUGGAAAGGUAAAAACCCAAGCGAGACAAGAGGAGUGUGGGUGCAGACGGAGAGCGGGGUAUUGAAGAGAAUUAUGUCUAAAUGAGACUAAACGGUCACAAAAGCUUGGUGGUUGCAGCUCAAAUGGUUCGACUAAGGAGAGACAGAAAUGCACUGCCUAUUGACUUCUGACUUUCUCAAUGUGCGUCGCAAUUCCUGAUAGAGUUGCAGCUUUGAAACCUUGUAACAUUGUCGAAUGUUCAACCAUUUCACACACUGCUGCAGAAUCUUUACAUUUUCCUAAUUAAGUGGGACUCUUCUCUUUAAAUGGCCACUUUAAGGAAAAGGAUGGCCCUAUUUUAUAUCUUCUUUCUGUCCAUCAUGCCCACGAGGUGUCCAAAACAAACAAUCUUUCCAUCUGGAAAACAUUCUGUGGCCCUCUAAGAUUGAUUAAUUGUAUAGCUUUUAAUCUCCUGAAACCUCUGGGGCCUCAUUUAUAAACGUUGCGCACGC
ensembl:lncRNA